rnacentral:rRNA from 1 species
AUUGAACGCUGGCGGCAGGCCUAACACAUGCAAGUCGAACGGUAACAGGAAGAAGCUUGCUUCUUUGCUGACGAGUGGCGGACGGGUGAGUAAUGUCUGGGAAACUGCCUGAUGGAGGGGGAUAACUACUGGAAACGGUAGCUAAUACCGCAUAACGUCGCAAGACCAAAGAGGGGGACCUUCGGGCCUCUUGCCAUCGGAUGUGCCCAGAUGGGAUUAGCUAGUAGGUGGGGUAACGGCUCACCUAGGCGACGAUCCCUAGCUGGUCUGAGAGGAUGACCGGCCACACUGGAACUGAGCCCCGGCCCAGCCCCCUAGGGGGGGCACCGGUGGGAAAUUUUGAAAAAUGGGCGAAACCCUGAUGCAGCCAUGCCGGGGGUAUGAAGAAGGCCUUCGGGUUGUAAAGUACUUUCAGGGGGGAGGAAGGGAGUAAAGUUAAUCCCUUUGCCCAUUGCCGUUCCCCGCAGAAGAAGCCCCGGCUACCCCCGU